GAAAUGAGGAGCAUGACUAACAAUUCUCCGAACAUGUUUCAAAAAAGAAGUGUAUUGUAUGCAUAGGCAUAACAGUUCUUUCCUUUGUAAAAGAGAUGUCGUACUUCCAGAAAGACAGAUAUAUCUAUAUAGACAUAGGGAUGUGUGUGUCUAUACAUAUACAUACACAUACAGUUGCAAAUACACAUAUAAAUGUCAUGAAGGAUGCAGUUCGAAAAUAAUCUUAUGUUGCCGGGCACAGUGGCCUCACUCCUGUAAUCUCAGCACUUUGGGAGGGUAAUUUUAGAUUGCUCAUAAGGAAAACGGUAUAGUUCCCUGACACUCGCAUAUAGUCUAAAAUACUGAUUAAAGGGAAAAAAA
ensembl:lncRNA novel transcript, antisense to NSRP1